rnacentral:rRNA from 1 species
UACGAGGGGUGCAAGCGUUGCUCGGAAUUAUUGGGCGUAAAGAGCAGGUAGGUGGUCUUAUUUGUCUUGUGUGAAAUCUAUGGGCUCAACUCAUAGUCUGCAUCGGAAACUGCCGGGCUUGAGUGUGGGAGAGGUGAGUGGAAUUCCUGGUGUAGCGGUGAAAUGCGUAGAUAUCAGGAGGAACACCUGUGGCGAAAGCGGCUCACUGGACCAUAACUGACGCUGAUGCACGAAAGCGUGGGGAGCAAACAGG